rnacentral:rRNA from 1 species
UACAGAGGGUGCAAGCGUUGCUCGGAAUCAUUGGGCGUAAAGGGUAGGUAGGUGGUCUCAUUUGUCUGGGGUGAAAGCCCAGGGCUUAACCCUGGAAGUGCCCCGGAAACGGUGAGACUGGAGUACUGGAGAGGGUCGUGGAAUUCCCGGUGUAGCGGUGAAAUGCGUAGAGAUCGGGAGGAACACCAGAGGCGAAGGCGGCGACCUGGACAGUUACUGACACUCAACUACGAAAGCGUGGGGAGCAAACCGG